GUUUGUCGGUUAUGCCUGGAACGGUUUGAAGUCGUAACUCGUGACUUUGAAGUCGUGAUUCACAGGUACAACUCCCCGCUGGAACGCAGCAUAAGUACAACAACUCAACAAAAAAGUAAAAAAAAAAAAAAGUAAACAACAAACACGGACAUACACGGAGCUGCUGAAAAGGCUGCCACUCGCGUCGGCGCCGGAUGUAAAAAAUUUGCGUGGCCGGAAGCGGUGGCUGUGGUUGUGUGGCUUCACCUGAGCGCGCGGCGGGGCGGCAGCGAGGCAGGAAACCGGAGCCGGAGUGUCCGGUCAGCAGGUGCCAGGCGGCAGAGCAGCGACGUGUCAGCGGAACGGGACGUCCGGUCGGAACCAGCCCCGCUGCCUGCGCUCCUGUACUGAUGACCCACGGUUGCCGCGGUAACGGUUGCUAACGACAGGAAGGAUGAAGGCUCUGAUUCUGGUGGGCGGGUACGGGACGAGGCUCCGCCCCCUCACGCUGAGCGUGCCCAAGCCGCUGGUGGAGUUCUGCAACAAGCCCAUCCUGCUGCACCAGGUGGAGGCGCUGGUCCGGGCCGGUGUGGAUCACGUGGUCCUGGCUGUCAGCUACAUGUCGGAGCUGCUGGAGCGAGAGAUGAGAGUCCAGGAGCAGAGAG